CAGACUCUCUACUUAGUGCGUUGGAGAGAGGACUGAGGCUCACACUAUCAGCACAGCUUCUCAAUGGGGGGACGCAGCCAAGAGCAGACAGAAUAGUCAUUCCAUUGGAGCCUUCCGCCGCACGCGUGAAAAGGAGUCGACAAGUGAGGGGGGGUAAAUUAGCUCCCUGUCAUCACAACAUAGGAGUUCUACUGACGGAGGAGAGGCACAGACUGAACGGAGGAGAGGACAGGAGAUCUUGUACGUAUAUGGCAGAGACAACAGUGACAUGAUCAACCUGCCAUCAACUCAGCUCCUAGUCAGUUUGUGACACAGACCUCUGGGUGUUUUUGGUGACUGUGUUGCCCGACGAUUUCAAAAGGAACUCUGCAGCGUGGGUCCAGAAGAGAGAAUAGUGUGGAAGGAAAAACAACACAGAAUUUUAGCCCCUUUUGUGCUGGUGAUCGGCUUAUCUGGUACUGGAAUUUCUUGCGGGAGUCCCUGGCUUCAAAGUAUGGAUGGAUUUAAGACGGAGGAGUGAGUCUGCUUGGCAGGGAGGCAGUGAUUCUGACUGAGCUCAGACUCAGCCUUACCAUGUCCUGGUUGUUGGCCAUGUGGAUUAGCCUCGGCUUCCUGCUGUUGUGCCAGGCCACACUCUACCAGACCAUCCAGCAGCACCAUGUAGCCCGGCCCGGCCGCACCGACAUUCUCACCCUGGAGGGAGGUACGUGCGAGGUGAUUGCCGCCCACCGAUGCUGUAACAAGAAUCGUAUUGAGGAGCGUUCUCAGACAGUCAAGUGCUCCUGUUUACCGGGGAAAGUGGCCGGGACGACACGCAACAAACCCUCCUGUGUGGAUGCGUCCAUUGUAAUUGGGAAAUGGUGGUGCGAGAUGGAGCCGUGUCUGGAGGGAGAAGAGUGUAAGACUCUGCCUGACAACUCUGGAUGGAUGUGCUCCUCCGGGAACAAAAUCAAGACCACAAGAAACACCCAGCCAUACUCCCCUUUUUAGCUUCCGGAAGCAAAAUGCAGAGGAUGGGUCAACAGAAAUUGAGCUGCAUUCUUGCUUCUGUAAAGAUUCAUCCCAGGACCUAACAGAGAGCUCCCAUUGCAGGGCUGCGUGCCAGGCUCUUCCCUUCAUCUACCCUUUCUCUUCCCACCGAACGGACUAAAACUAUUACAACCACGGCUACUGACUGGAUUACCUGGGACCACAUAAAGGAUAUCCAUCCAGAUAAAACAGCUUUGCUUGCGUGGUGCCAAGGAUUUGAAACCAGACUAAUCCCCUGUUUGAUCAAUGAGCCCCAUGUUGGUGACUCUCCACUUCCACACAGCUGUGGCCAGUUUCCGACCUUCUCUCUCUCUUUUUCCCCUCACUCGUCUCCCCCUCAGAAACUGAAACAGCUUAGCAGGGGUUAUUUAGAGGUUGUUAAAACAUUAUUUGAAGACAUUUGCCCUGCCUGAAGGUAAACCAGUUUAUGAGCUUACAUGGACCUGAACAUGGAAUCCACAGAACUGAGAGCAAGUGGAGGGAAAUAACCUUGGUAUACCUUUAUUUCUGUGUGGAAGGCAUUCGUAUUUGACUCGCCACCCAAGCAGGAUAGUCUUGCUGCGGCAACACUGAGGAGGUUUGGUUGGGAAACACUUUCAGUGACGGAGACCAGCAGCCUAUAAUGAGUUAUGAGAAGAAUCUUUGAGAGGCUGUAGGCCCCACAUGGCCUCUCCUUUAUCCUUCUUGAUGAACAUUUAUUCGUGUGUCUGCCCAAUGUAAAUUCAUGAGCACUUCUUUUCUUUGUAUGUAAGAUAAUUUGUGUAUACAUAUAUAAAUACAUCAUAUAUAAGAUGACAGAUCCAAGAAGCUGAAAAAUAUAUUUAAGACUCUAUUAGGAGCUUGAGCCCCUUGGUGGAAUAUUGAUCAGCCUCUGAAUAUAAGUACAGUUCAUACUUCUCCAGAGGCUGCUGUGUAUAGGACUGCUUUGCAGUAUACGCUUGCUUUGGGAAAAGGCACAACAGAGUCAUAAAAGUAAGCUUUCGUCAUCCAGCUAUGUCCUUGGUUAAGCCAGUUAAUGCUUGUAGUUUCUGUAAAGAUGAGGAAAACACUGUACAGAACUGCCUCACAAAAGAAAGCAGCACUAACAACAACCCCUGAGCGUUCCACUCAGAUCCUGUAGGGACAUAGAACAGCCGCAGACAAACUUGGACCUUAAUCGGACAGUUAGUGUCCAUUUCAACUCCGGAAAGUGGUCAUGGGCGACUGCUUGACUGUGUUUGUCGUAUAGAUCUCCCUCUCAGACACCAGAGAGAGAGAGGAUUUAUUCAAAAUGACAGAGAGAAAGUAUUAGUCACAAUGGAGAAACAUAUCCCCCAGUAGAUAUACAAGUACAUUACAGGACAGCCUUAUGAGAAAUAAAAAUGGUUUUCUAUACUGA